CCCCGCAGAUACUUUUUAUUUGGUUGCUCUUUCUUCGCUGCCUGCUUUAACUUGUACAAGCAGCACUACUCCAAACUCUUACUGCAUGAGCAUCAGUUUACACAGACCAUUAUUUAACGCUCCCUCCCCUAGGGCUGGAAAAGGGGGGUGGGUCUGGGAUGAGACUUGAAUAGAACGAACCUAUUAUUUCGUAUAAUUCAAAUCAGAUAAGUUUGCCCAUUAAGCGUGCAGUCCAAGUUUACUUUUUCUCUCUUUCCCCAAUUGCUUUGGCAAAAUCUCACAUGUGGAUUAUCCCAACUUUCUCCUUCAUUAAGAAGGUGAAUUUGGGGCCUUUUUUUUUUUUUAUCUUCUCCCCCCUCCCAUAUGUUAGAGAACACAGUAUUUUCUGUGAGUAUCAUCCAAGAACAUAUAUAUGGAAACAUUUCUACAUCCACAGAAAACAGCAACUGUCUUCCACGGUAACAUUACAAACUCGCAUUCCUGUAAGUUACAAUAACCAGGGAUGUUAUUUGUAUUACAGAGUUUGUUUGUGAAAGGAUGUACCUUGUGUCAACUUUUGUACAAAAUAUCCAGUGCCUUUCAACCAUGCACAAGGUUCACCUCGGCUUUGCCUCAAUUCAGCAGUACAGGUCUAUAACCACACACGGAGAACUUGAGCUCCAACCUGUAGAUCAGCUUCUUUUGCGCAAUUUCAAAGUCCUUUGUUCUACCUUCAUACCCACUUGUAUAUGCUCAUAGAAGUAUUAGUGAUAGUCUGUAAAAACGUCAUUAGCUUCAGAAAAGGUGCACAAGAGAUCCAGCUCAGUUACAAGUGGAUCACAAGCUCUGAUAAAACCAGAAAACAGAGGAAAAUUUAAGGCAAGAUCCACAUUUCUAGAACUUACUUUACCAGCAACAUAGCCAUGACCAAGUUUAGUGAGCUUCAAACUUAUUUUCCCUAUAUUCUCCAUGUUUUUGUGCACUUAUAUUUGGGGGCACAAACCAAUUAAGACUUGUGUACAUGCUUGAUUUUAUCACUGAGAAUAAAGUCCACCUCCCAUUAAACAUCAGCCUUUGUAAGCACAGCAUUAAGUGUUCCAGGAAUAAAAAUGCACAGGAUAAAUAGCAUCUAUAAAGUACACACUUGUUUAAGCUGAAGUAGUGUCUCUAAAAUAGGCUUCAUUAUUUUUUAAGAAGUCUAGAGAAAAGCAGCAUAAAAAAAUAGAAGUUUUUAAAAAUGAUAAAUAGAGGCGGUUGAGAGUUAUUUCAUGUGGUAAAGAAGACUGCAUGACAACAGCCUAUAGAUGUAUACACCUUCUGUUAAGAUGCAUAUCAGAAGAAAAAAAACAAUAGUCAUAGUUUGCAGCUACAAAUGUCUUGGAUAGAUUUUCAGAUAGCACUGCUACCUCAGAUACCUCUGGGUUCUCCCACACAUUUCAGACUGCCAAGCUACCUCACAAGGUUAUGUAAUUGCUGUCACUAACUCUGUAAGAGCAGAUUUGAUAAACAUCUGUUGGGCACAGUCUGAGUGUAUCACAUUCUAGACUACCUUUGGAGUUUCCCUUUACUGACUAUGUUUAUGCCUGUUGUAGCUAUGUUAUUUCUUUAACAUUUGCCUGAAGAUGGUUUGGGAGACACAAUUACUUAUAAAACAAAUGGUUCUGGGGAAAAAAAAAUCAGGUAGAUGUGACGAUAAACUUGUUCUGACUUUUACAAGUGAAAGCUAAUUCUAUGUCUUGCUUAGGGACAGUGUAGGAGAAAAAAAAUGAAACAAAACAGGGAAUACCUCUUAAAGUAAAUAGUAGAUGCACUAAGAGAUACCUGUAGGAGGAUUUAAAAAGAACAGGAAGAUAGACAGUAGUCCUAAAGGAUGGAAAGGACAGUCCAAACUAAAUCACCUAGAUUACAUUUGCCAUAUUCUAAGAACAAUAUCCAAAAUAUUUAAAGCUUCUGAAUAACUGACAAUGUCCCUAGAUUGUAAGUCAACAAAUAAAAUGAAAACAGCACGAAUUCACUUUGCCAGGAACACUGGUAUAACUCCUUAACUAGACAUAUUAAAGGUUAUAUCAGAAUUUUAAAAAAUGAAUUAAGAUCAGAGCUAGAAAUUUGAAAGUAAAGUUUGUUUUCAAGUUUAUGCAGUAGCUCUCCAGCUUUAAAAACUGAUUUUCAUGUUCUAAUCUCUAGAUUGAUGGAGAGAAUAUAUGCUCCUCCUGAAACUCCUUCUCACAUCUAUUAGUAUGGUAUUUUGUAUCAGUCUCACACCAUUAAUAUCAUGUAAAGCAGCUGCUUCUAUUCAUAUGCUAGUAAGAAACUCAGAUAUACUAUAUACUGUAGGGCUUCAAUCUUGCAGCUGGCACUAGCUUUCUCUGCCUGUACAUUUUUUGUAGUUAAUUCCAUAUUUGGGCAUUUGGUUCCCUCCCCCUACCCUUUACUUCACAAUGAAUUACUCCUUCUCUACAAAAUUAAUUGUAAGAGAGUUUUUGUGACCAGCCUACUUGAAAAAGAGUUUCAGAAGUUUUGUCCUCUUAAGUACUUCACCACAACAGUACCUAUUUUUUUCUCAAAGGAAUUUCUAGAGGUGGCAAUAGUCCCAGCAUAGGAACUAUGUGGUAAAUCCACGCUUUCACUCACACAUCUAAGCAGUUUAGUUCAUGUUCAUGUUUAAUUUAUUUUGUUUGUGUGUUUGCCAAAUAAAUAAAUAAAAAGUGCAAAACACAUAUUCUAUUUGAGAUAGGUAAACAGAGAAAAAUGCUAUUUCAGUCCAAGCAGAGCUGAAGGGGACGCCAAUCAUACUCUACUCACUUCAAGGGAGACUAAACAUAGAACUUGCAUACAAGCAUAAUAUAUAGUAUUUUUAAUAUAUUUAUAUAUAGAUAGAUAGAUAUAAAUAUAAAUUUAAAAAUAUAAUAUCAUUCAAACAUUCUGUGACUGCCUGCUAUCAAGUUUAUCAUAAUAAAUCUACUUUUAGGAAAUAAAAACCAAACACCUAUACAUAUAUUCAGUCUGCUACAUGGAUAGAUCAUGCUCAACAUUGGAAAGCCUAAGAAAGUUUCUCCCAUUAUUCACACGCACACAUAUUAAUGUGAAAGCAAAAAAUGCAGGAAAAAGUCAAUGAAUGUAGUUAUUUUUGAGUAAUGUUAUCAGCUUUUAAAGAAAAGGCAGAACAAAUGUGGCAUUUGAGAAAAGAGACCUAAGACAUUCCUGUGAGACACCUCCACAUCUGCUACUGUUCUGUGUUUCUAAUGAUUAGGAUUUGCCAUCAAUGUUUUAACCUAUUUCCCUCCAAAUAAAAAUACAAAGAAUUUGCUUAGAGGCAACAGUUGAGUAUAAUAAAAAUAAAUGAAAAAAGCACAAAAUAGCAAUGAUGGUUAAAACUGUCAACUUUCUUGGCUAUAACAGAAGAGGAAUUUGAAGGAGAAUUAACAAUGCAGUUCCACAUAUCUGUAAAAUGGGCUCCUUUCAGGCACGAGUUGACUGACAUCCACAGUAAUAUAAUCUUUACUCAGUGCACAAGGUAGCCAGUAGCUCUAAGUCUUGUGUUAGCAAAAACCUAGUAGUGGUAAGCCUAAGCGGCCUGCAUAUUGUAGCUUGUAAUAACAGAUAACAGAAGGCUCACAAAGUAAUUUAUCAAAAAAACCCAGUCAUAAUAUUAACUUCUAAGUAUGUUUGGAACAUGAUAGAUAUUUCUAGGAAGCUUGUUAGAUGGAGUAGAAAUGAAGAGCUGCUAGUAGAUACAAGUUCAGAUAGACUUUUACAAUAAUGCUAUUGUAUGAUAACACAGUACAGUAACUGUAGAAUAACGCAAGCUCAAAGGGUCCCAUAAGGAUCACCGAGUCCAACUCCUGACUCCACAGGACCACCCCAAAAUUAGACAAUAUGUCUGACAGCAUUGUUGGGAUGCUUCUUGAACUCCAGUAAGCUUGGUGCUCUGACCACUUCCAUGUCUGACCGCGCUGUCAGUGAAGAACCUUUUCCUGAUAUCCAACCUGAACCUCCCCUGGCCAUCAAUAAUUAUCAAUAAUACUAUAGUAAUCUAUUAAUGCAGAUACAGUUUUGUUUUUCUAGCUAAGCUAUUGAAAAAUAAUACUUGGAAUUAUAAUAGCUAAAUUAUUCCAUGGUUAAACAGUGAAAACCAGGAAUGGAAUACUUAUGAAUGCGAAUGAUUGUGUGGGUUACCACAGCACUGAAUAUAUAAUUACACUAUUUUCUUCUCUUUUCUGUGCCAGAUAAUAAUUGUGUGGUUCUGUUUGACUUUCAAAUAAGAGUUAUUAAUAUACGCAUCACUGUUUGCUGCUUUACCACCACUCUCUGCAGCCUUACUACAGCAGAAUCCAAGAUGGAGGUCAGACUGACCAACUAAGCGUAUUAAAUAAUCAGCAUUAUCAGUAAAACCCAGAGUUUACGCUCCAAGAGACAGACAAAGCUGAAAUAAUAGUCUCCUAGAGUAGACUAGAAAAAGAUAAAGGAAGAGUGAAAGAAUGAAACUUACCUACAGUUGAGAGAGCAGCAGCAGAUUUGACAUGACCUAGGGUAAAAGCUAGGCUUGUGGAAGGAUGUGUUCUGUCCCUUUUUCCUUAGAAAUACAAUCGCGGAUUUGUUUCAGGUAACAGAAAUCCAGUAGUGUCAGAGAAACAAGGAAUUCCCACGAAAAAUGGUGAAUGUAGCAGCUGUAACAUAAAACUUGUUCGUUCCAAUCCACAUAAGCCCACUGAACCAUAAAGGAGAAGUUAUGCCAUCAGCUCUAGCCAACCAAAACACAUUUAUGUGACUUGGAAGACAAACAUUUUCUCCUACUUCCACAAUCUUCCAGCACAUGUAUUCAUCAGACUUAACAGAAACUUGAAUAUACAGUUAUUUAAAUUUGAACGAUAACUUUUGUGCUAGUCUGUCAGUCCACUGAUUCUGAAAAAUUGUUUUGUGUAACUAGUCAGUUUGGACAUUUAUUAUUUCAAACCAGUUGGAGCACAUGCCUCUUUCACAGUAGAAGUGUUUCAAUUUUAGUUAACUUUUGGUAUGUAACAGGAUCACAGUAUAAACUAAACUUGACUAUUGACAAUUUAAGAUUGCAUAUUAUUAUUGGAGGAUAGCUUGCCUGGAAAUCCACAGUCAUACUGUUCUCUCAGUCUGGACCCCCUAGUGGGGUCAUAUUAACUGUGCUUUGUUACCUUCACUAAGUUAUUUCUAAAUCCAAUUUAAACUUGCCCUCCUCUUUGCAUGAACUCUGACAAAGUUCAUCUGAAGCUUUCUUUGUGUCCUAAUGGCUUUGCUAUUCAGAGUCAGUGGUUACAUUAUCAUCUUAGCAGGAAUUCUGUUUUCUCAGAAUUAUUUUCAUUUUUCAAUAGUCUUGGCUAUAUCUGGCUUGCAAUCACUUGAACAGUAUCAUAAAUAUUGUACUACGUAUAAAAUACCACAGUGUUCAAAUAGCUAAUGCAUCUAAACGCAUUUAUGGAAGCAAAAGGGGUUUGAUGGGAGGCAUUUAACUUGGCCCAAGUAACACCUUCAAUUAACACUAUAAAGAUAGGCUCUUCAGAAAUUUCAGAAGGAAAAACAGCUGAAGCAUUGAAACGUCAGAAAUUUCGGCAAAAAUUUUCAGUGUAAUUUGAAACAUCUUUUCACUGAAAAAGCCAUGCCAUUAGUCAUGGGUUUUGCUUCUUCUGACUGCUCUUAAAUGCAUAUUUUGAAAGACCUUUUCAAGUCGUAAAAUCAUUUCUUUGGAAUUUUAAAUGAUUUCCAAAUUCCUAUUUUUUUUCCUGAAAAAAAGGACAAAUUUGAACUUAAUAGAGCAUGAGGUGACAACAGAGCUUAUAGGUAAUUUACUCAUGAAGCAGCUUUAGUUUAAAAGAAAAAUGAAAACUACUUCUCAGUUUUUGGUUACAUCUACCAUACGGUAAUUUAAAAUCUUAAUCAAAUUUGGAUAGAAGAACACACAAAUCCAAGCAAACUACCCCAUCCCAGCAUCUGACAGCACUGUGCAUUAUUUACUAUUUAAUGCUUAAACAAAAACCAUAAAUGAACAGCAAUAAAUAAAUGAUUCAGCUCUACUUGUAGAUUUCUUGUAGCAGAUAUAGAUCCUUAUCCUGUCUAAUGGUACACCUGAGAAGUAGCUGCCUUCAAUCUCCAUUUUUAAGUUCUUAAACACAUUGUAAAAAGGUACCGCUAAAAACUGUGAGCAUCACAAGGGCACAGGAAACCACAGAAAAUAGGAUCUGCAUCUAUUUCAGUGCUUCGCAGAGCUGAAAUGCUGUUGGAAAGUAUAACACGAGUGCCACUGCGCCCUUGCAGUCCUGCAAGUCAUUUUAAUGAAUAACAGUACUCUUCAAGCAUUUAUCCUUUCACAGAUACUUGUUGACUUGCCAUAAGGAUGAACACAAACAUGAGUUUCAGUAUUGUCAAAACUCCAAAGAACUAUAAAGAAGAAUGACAAUUCCAUGAAGAAGCUAGAAAGUGGAAGUUUUCUCAGUAAGGAAUUUAGCCUAGCUAAGGAGGUGACCAGGAAUAGAGUAAACUGAAUUAUGUCCAAGAAAAUUGCACAUCUAUUAACUGACUUCCAAGAAGUAACAUACUUACCCUCAAGUUCACCUGCUUCUGCCACCACUCAGUCUGAAAACAGUUUUGCUAUACAAACUCAUGUUAUUUUGUCCCCCACUUAAUGAGAAUUCAGGCUAUCAUCAAGUCAUAUCAUUUGCAGGUGUCAACAGUUUAUCAGGAUCCAUGAACUGCAUAUUGCACUUCGUUGGCUGCUGCUAAACAAUGCAGUGUUAUGCCAGAAUACUCCUACAGGGAUAUAGACAGCAUCUCAGAAAGGUACAUAUACAGAAGUGUAAUGGCAGAAAGAAAGGGUUCCCUCACAUGCUUCUGCAAGACAAACUCAGAGCUCUCAGCCAUGUUGUUUCUACCGUUUCUGUAGCAAGCAAUCUCGCAAUCCAUUUGCACAGUAAAAGCACUGGCCAGCAAGCAUCUGAUAAAGAACGUGAGUGCCUGACUGCAACUUUAGAGAGCUAGGGCCCAGAUUCUUGGGAUUCAGGCCACAAGGCAGUGAGAGUCCACCACACAUACUGUGCAGUUACUGUGAAGCAUCGUGCUUGCAGCCUACCAUACUGCUUCAAAUAGAUACCUGUGUGACAAAAUUCAGUGCUGAGUUGUGUAGCUGAACAAGAUAGCUUCAUUUCCUACAGAACAGGGAUUGCAGACUAAUUCUGGAGCAGUAUAUUGUGCCCACUGCUUUUGGAAUCAUGCCUUAGAGAACUGCUAGUCCAUGCAGUUAGUGAGAAACAAGUAGCUUUUCUUAGCAACAGAUUCCUGUCUGGAAGGCAGAAUUGAGUGAGUAUAUUACAGCGUAGAUACAGGACAGCAACUGUUUUAUACUGAGUAACUGCACAUCUGUUCGCCACUUGCAGCUACAAUCAUCUGUAUGGAGUAACUACUGCAGUAAUUCUAUCAAAUUACUGAUUCUAAACUGUGAACACCAACACACUAUUUCUGAAACAUGGAUUCUUACCUCUUACAAUUAUUUUUCUUUGCUUAAUGCUGAAAGUACUGCAUCCCACAUAGACCAUUAUUUAGUGUAAGAUCACUCACCAUAGCCAAGAUUUGCAGAAUACUGCAUCACUCUUCUAACUUCAAGUACUACUAAUGCGACAGUUACAAAACCAAGUAUUGUUAUUAAGCCAUUUACAAACGUAGCGAUUUUUCUCCCCUUCUCCCCCUCCCCAAAGUUUAUGAUGAAAGGAGAAGAGUUCCAAAGUUAUUCAUAAAGUGUGGUACAGAAAAUUAUGCAGAGGCCUACUGACUUACUUUCCCAUCUGUCCCACUGCCAGACUCCUCCCAUUACAUUAAAUUAUCUUUCCAUUUACUGUUGUUACGAGAGCCUGUCUGAAUUAUUAGAAGGAAAUAAUACUUUAAAACUGGGGGGUGGAAACCAGCACCAGAACGCUGCCCAUUAAUCUUUUGCCUAUAAGAUGCUCAGGUACUGUUGUGAAUAGUCCCAGCUUGUGAGGCAAAAAACCUAGAACAAGAAAGAGAAAGAACCCGGCAUUAUGUGGUAUAUCUCAGAGCACAGAACAAAAGCCUCAAUCAGACCAGUUUCAUUUUCAAAAUUAUCUGUGAUAGAGAAACUGAAGACAAGUGCUGUGUGUUCUGAGCUAAGCUUCCACCAUUGCAAGAAAUAUUCUCCAUUUGUGAAUUCAUACUAGAAAGAAUCAAUUUGUUCCUGAAACACAUCUGCCACCUAAGUUGGAUAGCUUUACCAUACAUACUCCUUCUGGUAGAGCAAUUUUUACAGUAAUCCAUUUUGAAACAACAGAUCAAGAUAAAUGCUAUUUGAUAGGUUGUUUCUAGGACUCUAUAAACUCUCAGCAAGGUAAAGAAGAAAAAGAAUCCACAAUACAGGUAGUAUAACUAACUGUUACGAUAUUAAAUUGAAGAUUUUUGUUGUUAUUUAUUGUUUUUCAAGAGUGCUCUGUACCAGAAGCUUCUCCUCCCUCUCCACAGGUUUUCUAGACAGUUACUGUAUUUACUUCAUUAUGAAAAAAGCCCUAGGAUUCUCUCCUUCAUGCAUCUGCCUCCUAAUCACCUUCUGGCAAGUCAAAACACUCUUUGAUCCAACAGUAACUCCUGUAGUGACACUGCACUGUUUAGCAGUUAUGGUUUUAUUAUGUAACUAAUAAACAGAACAUAAAUAACAAGGGAAAUAGCUUUUAUUUCAGAAACUUCUCAACAGUAGCAACAAAAAUAAGGGAAACGGAGCACAGAGUUUAUUUGUACUUACUAAUGCUUUCCUCUAGUUUACUUUGCAGACAGAGCCCUUCUUUCUCUUCAUCGUAGAACUUCAAAAUGUUUCAACCAAUUUGCUAGGAUUUUAGAAGAAGCCAAGUCAUGGUUAUCAACUAGGUCCCAGUUUAAAAACAUUAUGUAAAGUGCUCCUAUCAGGACUCAAUCACUUUUGUUUAAGCGAUUUAAACAUCAACAUUUUGCUAAGUAGACAGUAAUCAGAUAAAUAAUAUUUCUAACAUCAGUACAAAGUCCAUAUACAAAACCUUUUCAGAAUUCACCUGAAAAAGUGUCCUCAGGUGAUAAAAAUAAAACCUGUUCAUCACACUGAAAACCAGACAGGUAUAACCGGGAUCCAGUCACUGGAUAAUAUACAUCUCCGUGAUGAGAUUAGGUCCUUAUCUUCUUUUCAUUCAGUCACAAGAACAGAAAUGCUGCUAAGCAAAAACGUGGCUAUAUAGAUGCACACAAAGAUGUCUUUUAGAGGACCUGCCAGAAAUUUCAAAUCCAUAUUUUUAGUUAUGGAAAGAGGUACAUGGAUGCACAGUUGUUAUAGAACGCACACAUGAAGGACAUCAUUUCCGGAAGCGCUUAAAUAGGGGAUGGAUGUGCUUAUUUGAAGAUGCCUUACUCCGAGAUGAGUGAUAUUCCAUAUAAACCGCAUCAUCGGCUCCUGACAUAGAGCUCAUUGUGCCUGUGCGACGUGACAUCUGAACAGACUUUGAACCAUAUUCUCCAGCAACUACCUCCUCCUCGGCAUCUAGGUCAGAUGCUUGUAGGACUUUCUGAAGAAGUUGUUGCUGUUCUUCUUUGGAUGAAAAUGAAAGUUCUUCUUCUUCCAUGCCUGCAAGCUUUGUUAUUACCUAAGAAACAGAGCACAGUAUAAGUCAGGAGUUUUUGAACUGUUAUUAGUUAUGGUGCGUGUGCAAAUGUAUCCCCCACCCCAAUCUCCUGUUAUAUUCUGGCUUGAAAUGCAGUAGCUCUGGACAGGAAAUGUAUGCCAAACAUUGUCAUUCCAUGCCAGCUUGACCAGGAACCUUACUGGAAGGAUGACUUCAUGCUGCAGCUUCAGGUUUUGUCCAAUGUAAGAACUAAUACUUUAUAUGAAUAUACUUUACAGUAAAGUACGUUGUAUUUCAUAAAAAUAAUCAAUGAGCUUUCCAGGCACCAAGAAUUUUAACAUACACAUUUAGAAACAUUCACAAUUAGUUGUUGAGAGACUGCACAACAACCUGCAGCAGAACAUCAGCAGUGUCACUGUUGUCAGCAGCAAUUUCUAAAUUGAAAAAAUGCAUUUCUCUGAGAAAUGUGUAGUUUUAAGAAUCUAUUCAAGGAAGCAACCUGUCCUAUUAUAUGGACAAAUGAACUCUAUGAUUCCUCUUGUUGUUUAUGAAGUACAUGUGCCAUGAUCACCUCAAAACCAAAACAGAGCCACAGGAAGAACUGCAUUAGCAUGUUUACAGUUGUUGCAGAACAGUGCUGGCAUAUUUCAUAAAACAGAAAGAAUUUCCAUUGCAUCACAAUUUUUUUAAGCUGCCGAACAGAUGCCAAGUUUAAUGUAAUCAGAUUCUUUGAUUCAGAUUCUUUUGCUGAAAGGCACAGAAUUGAGCUACUGAUAGAUGAAAAGAAGAAAGUCCUGGAAGAAAAAUGCAUACAGUUACCUUUUUAAGAGAGUACCAAAUUUUUAGUAAUGUUAGGCAUCAGGAAUAAAAAUUCCAAAGGAAAGGAUGUUAGCACUGAAAUAAUUGCCUAAAGAUGAAGUAGAGUCACGAAGACAAACAUCUGCUGGGAAUGACAUACACAGUUGAUUCUGGCUUGUAAUGAAGAAACAUUAGAUGGUUUCUUCAAGUUUCUUCCAACCCUAUUAUUGUUCAAUGCCAGCUAUGACUAAAGCUUAAAGUUCAGCAAACAGAAGAAAACAGAUAUUCUAGCAUUUUGUUACUAAUCUUCAAAUAAAGAACAUUCCAGUACUGGUCAGCUAAAAUUCUGCUCCAGACAGUCAGAUGCCAUUUGCACUACUUUUAUUGCCACGAAGUCCGAACUCCUAGGACUAGGUCUUCCUUGCAAAAUAAAACCUCUCUAUUUUAACCUCUUACUUAGUUCUAUAAUCCGAGACUUAUAUUCAAAUAAAAGCAGAGGGAUUUCUUUAAUCUUCUUGGCUAUAGCCACAUAGACUCAUUUGUUGUAAUUACCUGCAGCUGACUGAUCUACAGUUUUGUCAAGAUAUGUUCAAUACAAAGCAAAACAAGGCUCUUACAUGUAAAGCCUAUGACAUGUCUGUUUUGAUGCAAAGACCUCCUCUUUAACAGGGCCACUGAUGACAGAGCAGUUUACUUCAGAGUACCUGCAGUUCAUACAGGUUCUACCCACGGAGAUGUCCCAAAAUGGAUGUAUGCCUCUAAUGAUCUUCAACAGCUAGGUUCAAGUGCAAUCCAUUAGAGACUAUUUGCUCUUUCACCUUGUGCAAUUUGUGCAGUGACUGCUGCACAUGGCUAUCUGGAACAUCAUUUGUCUUUCACGUCACCGUCACCACUGCUGAAACACACCACCCACCACCUCAGUUUGCUAGCAUCUACUGUUUAAGUCUCCGUAAGUGUUCAGCAAGCUUCAGUGAACGUCAAUGGGUGCCAUUUUUUCUGCACGGAGGAAUUCAAUUCCACAUCUUUGCUUCAUAUGCACUUCCAUGCCAGACACCAUUUUGUCGGACUGCCCCCCUGCUACCAUCUGUCACACAACAACAACAUGCAAUGGAAUAUUGGUGAGAAGAUUCAGCCUUUACUGCCAUACUACCAACAUCCACCUCUGACACUGUGGGCCAACAUAAUUAAACAGGAGGCAUUACUUUCAGAUCCACCCUUAUAUAUCCGAAAGUAAUGUAACUAAAGUAACUUACCUUCCUAAAAGCUGUAUUAAACUACUUGUAUCUACCCUUACAGCAACAGAGUUAACAGAAUAAUGCAGGAAAAAUUUUUGCCUGCAAGUAAAACCUUCAUUAAUACAUUUCACAACUGUAAUUCUCAAGUAUCUGACCUAGUCACAAAAUGAAAGAAUUAAAGUUAUAUUCACAGGCCACAGUUUAGUAAUUAGAAGGGACAAAUUACCUUGAAGCUAUAGCCUUGAUCUACAAGAAACCGCUGUCGCUUUGUUGAAUAUGCCAUUUCCUGAGUGUCUUGGGAUACAAGAGAAUAGAAAAAGGCAUUGUAUUCCUCUGCAACCAUGCCUAGGAGACAAAGCCACCAAAGGAUUAGUUCCAUUUGGAUCACUACAACCAAGAAGAAAAAAGGACUAAAUUGUAAAAAUAGGUAUUCAAAGAAGAAUCCUCUCCACAAAAUCAGUUUGUAAAAUGUAUUUUAAAUACAAGCUGCAUCCAGACCUUACAUAAACUGAGUGACAAAGCACACCACAUCGAAAUUCCUACUCUUGUUCAUAAUAACUCGAGGAUAGCUUAAAGGGAAAUGGAAAAGGAAAUUUAGACUAUCCCAGUUAUGCUGGUACCCCGAGAAGAACCUGCUGCUUAACUAUGCAGAACAAAGUAGAAGAAAAAAUUACUUACAUAAUAGUUUGCAAACAAGUGGUAAGAAGUCGAGAACAAAGAUUGUAAUGGAUGUCAAAAAAGUUAAACAGAAAUUACAAUGGAAAUUUAUCAGUGUGAUUUAUCAAUGUAAACGAAAGUUAGCAAUCUUUUUGCAUUAAAAGAAAGAUAAAACGAUAUUUUCUUUAACAACAAAAAAACCAAAGCAACCAAACCAAUCAAACAAACAAACAAACAAAAGCCCACUGACCUUAUGGCUAUUUUACCUACUCUCAAAUACCACUGGGUUUUCUUGCAAAACCCAAGGUCUCACUAACACAAGUUUUGUAUGCAUUUUCAAACAAAACUUCAGCCACAAGAAACAUAAACUGUACAGAAAAUAAACUUUGCUGUACUACACCAAGACAGCACUGUGGAGUGUGCUUUGGUAGGAAGAAAAUUACAGAUAACAGCAGCAACUCUGUAUGGGGACAAUAAAAAGAGACUUCACAUCACAUGAAAACAGGUGGGAGAAAGCAAACCCCAGAUUCUGCUUACAACACUCAUUUUCCCAACAGCCAAAUGCAGAACUGAAGCACUGCAAUUUUAUUCUCCACCUGACAGUUAUCAAUAAUUUCCUCUGAAAUACGACCACUUCCUAGGGAAUACUCUUUCUAUCUAAACUAAGUGCCAACAGGCUGUGAUAUAAACCAAUCUUUAAGCUUCUUACUACCUUAACUUGAGAGAACUCUUGAAGUAGAACCAUUUCACCUUGAGCUACUUUAUAAUUUGUCUCAAGAAGAUAUAAAUGGGAUUAGAGCAGAUUAAACAUCGCCUAUUUAUCAGUUAAUAGAACAGACUUACAUCAGUGUCUUUUAGGAAACAUUCAGUUAAUCAAGUCAACCAGCAAAUUCUGCCUAAGAGCGAUUCACCUUAGUUCAAGACUAAUAGAAACGUCAAAAGAAAACGUGACAGAAGCAUCCCAAUAGCACUCAUAUGUAUUCUUCAAACUGAGACACAGAUGGGAGUGAUCAGUGAGAUUUCAAAUAACCAAUGAAGCAAUUCCUAAAAUCCUGACCCCACAGUAAGUUUAAAUCCUACUCACAUAUCCAUCAUAGAAAAAGGAAACACCAGUACAACUGCAGUUUUUUUCCUAUAUGAUCUCUGCACUCUGAGUCUAGAACAUACCAUAAAAAGCAAAGCUCACUUUCACUGAAGCUACAGUGACACUGUGACUCCACAUAUAUCCCAGGCCAGAGUGACAAAUAGCUUUUCAGCUUACAGUUUACUUAUCCUCUAGAAAUAUACUGGAGGAUGAGGGGAGGAACAGCAAAAACCUGAUGAACUAUUCAACCUGAUAACGAAAACAUGAUUUUGACAGUCUUUGGGUAGGAAGUAAAUGCUACAAGCACUCCAUUUAUGCUUUGCUAUGGAUGGACAGGAUUGCUGCUCCUGUUAGUGCCACAGCUUUCUACAACCUCCACCUGAAGUGUUUGUAAAUCAACUUUAAUAAAACACUAAAACAAGCAUUAGAGGAGAGAGAUACCUCAUAGAAACAAUGCUGGCUUUAUUGUAACAUAGUAUAUACAAAUUCACAAGUUUGGAGGAAAAAAAUAAACAUCACUGGGUGUUCUGGCUCAGCUGAUCUUAAGUUCUUAAAACAGAAAGGGGGAAACAAUGCUAUUCUGGCAUAGUAAAUCAUUGUAACAGGAGAGGAAAGAAGAUGCAAGAAAGUAUACAAGAAAGAAUUCAUUUCUGGCUAAAAAAGAAAUGGAGAAAAGAAAUAAGAGCUGCUGCAAGUGAAAGACUGAAUGGCAUCCGUAUUAGAACAACAACAACAAAGCCAAAACCCAACACUUCUCUCACACGGAACCUUGAACUACCUUCUUAUUCAUGAUAUUGCAGUUUAUUCAGUCUGUGUUUCAGUAUUCUAAAUAGUUGAGUAAUUAUCUGAAUGCCGUACUGUAUUCCAAAGAGCAGAGCCCAAGAACUACCUCACCUUUUUUGGCUCUCAGUACUCGCCCCAGUCUUUGAGCCUCCUGUCUUCGAGAUCCACCGUGGGAUGAAAUCUGAAUCAGAACAUUGGCUUCAGGUAGAUCAAAGGAUGUGUCACCCACCUACAACACAGAAGCAGUGUCUGAGCAGCAUCUUAUUUCCAUGUACCAAUAACGACUUUGUACAAAGUACACCUUUAUUAGUUGCAAUAAUAAAACGUCAAAUGCCCGAUGUGCAUGUAUAACUUGUUCUUAUAUAAGGCUCACUCUGAAGAUGAGUACAAAAACACACUACCUCCUCACCUUUGAAAUGAAAAUAGUGUUGAUUUUUGGAUUGUGCUUGAAGUUUUGUAGAAUUUGCAUUCUUUCUCCUUGUGCAGUAGGACCAUAUAUAUAAGGUCUGAAAAAAACAGAACACAUGCAAAUUAAACCAAUUCAAAAAUCCUCAUUUUUUAACAGGCACUAAGAUAUCAUGGCAGGGAGCUCAUUACACAGUGAUUUAAACGUAUUAAUAGCACUGGUGAAAAAAAGAGCAUGAGCUAUGUGACUCUGGAUGACAGACUUAGGACAGAGUAAAAACUGGCUUAACAAAUUUUGAGUUCUGAGGCCUCAAAAAAUUAAAGGCAAAAUAAUUCCUGUCAUGUGCAUGUUCUUUCCCUGCUAGUACCAAGGGAAUAGAAUGGGGCAAAGGAGGAGCUGGUGCAGCAGCAGCCACCAGGCAAUGCCAAUUUCUCUCCACUGGGGAGCCCACCUGCCCCAUAUGCUUGAGCCAGGCAGUGGAACCCACCCGCUGAGCCAGCACAGCC
rnacentral:lncRNA from 1 species